rnacentral:rRNA from 1 species
UACGAAGGGGGCGAGCGUUGUUCGGAUUUACUGGGCGUAAAGGGCGCGUAGGCGGCCCUCCUUGUCGCGUGUGAAAGCCCCGGGCUCAACCUGGGAAUUGCGCGCGAAACGGGGGGGCUCGAGUUCGGGAGAGGAGCGUGGAAUUCCCAGUGUAGAGGUGAAAUUCGUAGAUAUUGGGAAGAACACCGGUGGCGAAGGCGGCGCUCUGGACCGAGACUGACGCUGAGGCGCGAAGGCCAGGGGAGCAAACGGG